AUGUCAGGCAUCCACCGGCUUAUCCUGCGUGACAGACAGUACCCGCGGUACCGGUGGUCGUGGUAGCGGCCAUGGGAGGUGUCGGCGGUGGAGGUAACGGCGUGAGAGGACGAUGACAAUGGCAUGGAGGGUUAGCGCAAGGAUGAGCACCUGCCGCCGCCGUAAGGCUGCUGCGACCUGCCGGGCAAGUGCGGCCGGUGGGCGCGCAAGCUGGCAAGCGACGCCGUCCCGUCGCUCCUGCAGGGCGAGAGGCUGGGGGCGGACCGGGGCGCGCGCGCGGGCGGCAGGGGUCUCGUCUAGCGCGAGCGGCGGAGCCGGCUGGGGAGGAGCGAGACCCAGAGGACCCAGUGCCCGGCUCGGGUCCAGCCGAGGGUGGAGUGGGGAGAGCUGGGGUGGCGGCAGGCGUCGCUCCAGACCAUGCCGCUCGCGGGGCGGAGGCGGCUGUGGCAGCCGGUGGGCGUGCACCGCUCCCCGAGCCGCCUCCACAUGUCGGUCGAGAUGGGCAUGGGCCCGGAGGAGUUGAUGUGGAGGCCGCAGUAGGUGGUGCAGGCCGAGCACCCGGACUCCGGCAGGUGGGCGAUGAUGAUGGCAACACCGCUGUCGAGGGAGUUCCCGCCGGAGUCGCUGCUCGCGAGAAAGCACUGCGACGGGCGCGGCCGCGGCCUGCGAAUGGGAGCGGCGCAGCGCCACCAGCCCCUGGAACCCGAGUGGCCGUUGAGGUGGAGGUGGCAGCUGGUGGAGCGGUCCUUGCUGGGCAGGUACUAGAACUACCAGCCGCUGUACUGCAUGCGAUUGGUCAUGGCGUGGUGGCCGCCGUCUCCACAGGGGACGAAGAGGACAAGGAAGGGACUACGGGGCUAAGCCCUCAGGAUGGUCGGUGCUACCCUGCCGACCCCUUCUAAGUACCUCGGCGAACGUAGCUCCCACUGUUACUACCACUGGCUUCCCUUGGUGCUCUAGCUCGGCGUCCCCGUGCCGCCUCGGCACUGGAAACGGAGGAUGAACCGCGCGAAGCGACACGGCAGCCUCCUCAGACCAAGGUUGUGGUUCAAGAAGAUGAGUAAAUUGCGCCCACCAUAAGUGAAGUAGUACGAACCACGGAUGCAUCUGAUGUUAGCGUGUCCUCGAGUCAUGAGCACCAAUCUCUUCCUAGACGUCUUUCAACUAGCUGCUCGGUGUGGUACCCAACAGCGAAGGACCGUGUGCGGCACCAUAUUGUCGAUAAGGAGCGUGAUGGUCCUUAAACUCACAUACUCCGUUCUCUACCUUCCUGAGGAGAUGGUUGUACCCCAGCUGUAACAGAAGAGUCCGGUACAUGUGCGUAUGCUUUCCUACUUGGCCCACAAGUUGAUGUGCAACCUGGGCACGCCCGGCCAAAUGUAAUGCUAGCCCCUACCGCCAUUGUAACUCCUUUAGCUGUAACUAGUACGUCUACUGGGACCUUUCACGGGGAGUGGUCCACUGUUGGUUGGACUUAAACCACCUCAGACGGUAAACUUGAAGUGAAGACCAGGACGGUUCCCCUUUAAAACGACCCUUGCUGUCGGCCUUACCUCGCGUAAGUCCCUUUCGUCAAAGCCGGUGCCAUAAAAUCUCCAACACUUAAGCUGUAUACGGAACACCUGUACCGUGGCCUUGGUCCUACGUAUGCCUCUUGUGUCACACCCUCUAGUCUAGAUAUAUCAUGCCCUUGGGCUAUUCACGGAUAACGUCGGCUCCCCACACUAAAGCGUUCUGACCACUAAAACUUAAGAUACAAGAAAUUAUCGGGAAGAGUUUUAUUCUUUAGAUACAUGAAGUCAAUCAAUGUACAACAAUAGAACGUUGAACACAAGUAGCGGUUACAUCUAAGAGUUAGGGAAGAGAGCAAACACUAACGUGUCCUGUCAGGGUGCCGCCCUACGGGAAGAAGUUGUAAUUCAUCGUGGAGUCCACGACUUGUUCGACGAUUUUUACCGGCAGAGGAAAACCUGAUGAUGUACAUACUAAAACUAAUCAUAUCAAAACAUCAGGGUAAGAAUCGGAACUGAUCCGCUACGGAAACUUCGUGGUCCGUUUUAUGUACCCAUCAGACCACCGUCUCAACUGUCUAAUAUAAGGAACAUCGUUACCCCAACAUGUACUUUGUUGUAUAAACUUUCUUUUAUUGUAGCUCUAAUAAAAAACUGCCGUUAGCGACUCUUACACAACUGUGAACAUGGAUUUUCGUUUUUCAUACAUUUCUUUUUUUUUCCUACUAGGCUG
rnacentral:rRNA from 1 species